rnacentral:rRNA from 1 species
GGGCCCUACGGGGGGCAGCAGUGGGGAAUAUUGGGCAAUAGGCGCAAGCCUGACCCAGCAACGCCGCGUGAAGGAAGAAGGCUUUCGGGUUGUAAACUUCUUUUAUCAGGGACGAAGCAAGUGACGGUACCUGAUGAAUAAGCCACGGCUAACUACGUGCCAGCAGCCGCGGUAAUACGUAGGUGGCAAGCGUUAUCCGGAUUUACUGGGUGUAAAGGGCGUGGAGGCGGGAGUGCAAGGCAGAUGUGAAAACAAUGGGCUCAAACCAUAGCCUGCAUGUGAAACUGUACUUC